rnacentral:lncRNA from 1 species
UUACGACCAGUAUCAUCUCCGGAGGGGGUACCGCCGUCAUCGAUGCCAACGCUGCCCAAUGGCGGAGGAGCCAACUUCUGAGACUGAUAUGAGGCGUCCUUCUCAUCCGCGUCCACAAGUUAUAAACCUGCCUUCACCUCUGAGUCGGCGUAGUGGUACUCUGAGCAACUGCUCACGACAGGGGGAAAGGAUACAGAUCGAGAGAGUCCGGCAUGCCACAGUGGGGUGCUACAAGAUUGGACGACUUGCCCUGCUGUGUGUGGUUCUCCAUGGAGGAUGGAUUUGAGGUAGCUGACGGUGGUGCGCUACGUUACCUCCAUGACCUCCUUGACUGCAAUGACGAAAAAGGGUUUCACCUGUUUUAUACUAUUACAAAGCAACAAUCAAUCGAAAAAGGGUUUCCUUCAUUGACAGCAAUCACGCGUCACUCCUAUGGAAUGCCUCCGAUGUCGAACCGACGGCACAUGGAGAUCUAGG